CCUACGGGAUGCAGCAGUAGGGAAUCUUCCACAAUGGGCGAACGCCUGAUGGAGCAACGCCGCGUGGGUGAAGAAGGUCUUCGGAUCGUAAAACCCUGUUGUUAGAGACGAAAGUGCGUGAGAGUAACUGUUCACGUUUCGACGGUAUCUAACCAGAAAGCCACGGCUAACUACGUGCCAGCAGCCGCGGUACUACGUAGGUGGCAAGCGUUAUCCGGAUUUAUUGGGCGUAAAGGGAACGCAGGCGGUCUUUUAAGUCUGAUGUGAAAGCCUUCGGCUUAACCGGAGUAGUGCAUUGGAAACUGGGAGACGUGAGUGCAGAAGAGGAGAGUGGAACUCCAUGUGUAGCGGUGAAAUGCGUAGAUAUAUGGAAGAACACCAGUGGCGAAAGCGGCUCUCUGGUCUGUAACUGACGCUGAGGUUCGAAAGCGUGGGUAGCAAACAGGAUUAGAUACCCCUGUAGGC
rnacentral:rRNA from 1 species